ACACCUCAACUCUCAUGGUUUGCCAUGAUGAGCUUGGACUUUGGGGGUCUUGCUGGCCUACGGUCGGCUCCUCUCAAAUGAAUCAGCUUGCCAGUGUUUGGUGGCAUCACGGGUGUGAUAACUAUCUACGCUUGUGGUUUCCCACCAGGUAACCUUCAGUGAUGGAGGUUCGCUGGGGCUCAUAAACGUCCCUCCACAGCGAGGACAGCUUUUGAAC
rnacentral:misc_RNA from 1 species